UACGUAGGUGACGAGCGUUGUCCGGAUUUACUGGGCGUAAAGAGCGCGCAGGCGGUCGUUCAAGUCGAGUGUGAAAGCCCCCGGCUCAACUGGGGAGGGUCACUCGAUACUGAUCGACUCGAAGGCAGGAGAGGGUAGUGGAAUUCCCGGUGUAGUGGUGAAAUGCGUAGAUAUCGGGAAGAACACCAGUGGCGAAGGCGACUACCUGGCCUGUUCUUGACGCUGAGGCGCGAAAGCUAGGGGAGCAAACAGG
rnacentral:rRNA from 1 species